rnacentral:rRNA from 1 species
GAUGAACGCUGGCGGCGUGCCUAAUACAUGCAAGUCGAGCGAACAGACGAGGAGCUUGCUCCUCUGACGUUAGCGGCGGACGGGUGAGUAACACGUGGAUAACCUACCUAUAAGACUGGGAUAACUUCGGGAAACCGGAGCUAAUACCGGAUAAUAUAUUGAACCGCAUGGUUCAAUAGUGAAAGACGGUUUUGCUGUCACUUAUAGAUGGAUCCGCGCCGCAUUAGCUAGUUGGUAAGGUAACGGCUUACCAAGGCGACGAUGCGUAGCCGACCUGAGAGGGUGAUCGGCCACACUGGAACUGAGACACGGUCCAGACUCCUACGGGAGGCAGCAGUAGGGAAUCUUCCGCAAUGGGCGAAAGCCUGACGGAGCAACGCCGCGUGAGUGAUGAAGGUCUUCGGAUCGUAAAACUCUGUUAUUAGGGAAGAACAAAUGUGUAAGUAACUAUGCACGUCUUGACGGUACCUAAUCAGAAAGCCACGGCUAACUACAU